GCACUAAAACUCGAACCUCAGUUGGAUUUUGCUCGCUUAGAUCUCAACUCGGAUCAAAUUUUCUUUCUGGUCCCUCUCACCACAUAAGCGGUGCCAAGAACACACUUUGGAAAACCUGACAUCAUUUUCAUGAGGACAGCAGGCAAUUAUAUUUCCAGCAUGGUUUAAACCAGCUCUCUGCAAAUAUCGUCGUGGAAAACAAUGGAUUCUAGCCUAGCUGUAUUCUCCACUCUUGGGAGCCCCUUUUCGGAGGCAUCCAGUUCCCGAAGCCAUUAUCAUCCCUCCCAGGCCCAGCCGUUGAGGCAGAAGAAGCAACAGACGGUGAGAAGAGGAUAAAGUCAUGCCAUGUGGUCUCUAAGGAAAAGCAAACAGCAACUGAAAUCGGACUGUUCUUUUGGAUAUCCGGUGAUCCAUCCUUAUGGAAUUAGAUGAUAAGAAUUGGGAAUCUAGCUAUU